rnacentral:rRNA from 1 species
UCCAAUGACUCUCGGCAACGGAUAUCUCGGCUCUUGCAUCGAUGAAGAACGUAGCGAAAUGCGAUACUUGGUGUGAAUUGCAGAAUCCCGUGAACCAUCGAGUCUUUGAACGCAAGUUGCGCCCGAAGCCAUUAGGUUGAGGGCACGUCUGCCUGGGUGUCACA